CGGGGUGCAGCAGGCGCGAAAACUUUACAAUGCCGGCAACGGCGAUAAGGGAACCUCGAGUGCCAGGUUACAAAUCUGGCUGUCGUGAUGCCUAAAAAGCAUUGCAUAGCAAGGGCCGGGCAAGACCGGUGCCAGCCGCCGCGGUAACACCGGCGGCUCGAGUGGUAACCGUUAUUAUUGGGUCUAAAGGGUCUGUAGCCGGCCGGGUAAGUCUCUUGGGAAAUCUGGCAGCUUAACUGUCAGGCUUUCAGGAGAUACUGCCUGGCUCGAGGCCGGGAGAGGUGAGAGGUACUUCAGGGGUAGGGGUGAAAUCUUGUAAUCCUUGAAGGACCACCAGUGGCGAAGGCGUCUCACCAGAACGGACCUGACGGCAAGGGACGAAAGCUAGGGGCACGAACCGGAUUAGAUACCCGGGUAGUCCUAGCCGUAAACGAUACUCGCUAGGUGUCGGCCACGGUGCGACCGUGGUCGGUGCCGUAGGGAAGCCGUGAAGCGAGCCACCUGGGAAGUACGGCCGCAAGGCUGAAACUUAAAGGAAUU
rnacentral:rRNA from 1 species